UUGAGGUUUGAGCUACUGGCUACUUAUUUCUCUUGGUAGCCAGCAGCCAAACCUCAGU
rnacentral:pre_miRNA from 1 species